CGCGACCCCAGGUCAGGCGGGGGUACCCGCUGAAUUUA
rnacentral:rRNA from 1 species